GCCAAGCCCUCCAAGCGAGUAUCUAGAGUCUAAACAGACGCAGCGGAGCGCUCGCGCGGGAGGCUGGGCCUGAGCGCAGGACUACGUUUCCCAGCGGGCGGCGGGCCUGCGGGGACCCAUUCCCGGGCCUGGGCCUCCGGAGUCGCUCCUGCGGCGGGCGCUGCUUUUCAAGAUGUCCAAUAAAGAAUCUUAUGGAAAAGAAGAAAAGUCUCAAAGAAAAGGCACUACCUUAUUGCCAAUCUUUGAUGAAGAAGACAAGAAAAAGAAAAACACCUCAGCAAGUUCUACUAGUUCAGUAUACUCUGUGAAAUCAGUUACAUCCGAGAGUAGGAAACUG